AACUUUUUAUUAAAAAAAAAAAAAAAAAGCGAGGGGGAGCGGGGAGAGAGUCAUCCAGAGGAAAAGAUGGAAUUUGUAUCAGCCUGUGAAUCUGAUAGUUGAAGGAGGAAGACCUAACCCUAGUCUUUGAUAAUACCUCACUUGGGAAGAUUAAUUUAUAGUAGAUUUAACUCAUGUUUCUCAAAAUCUUGCACGAGCACGUGCUGUUAAAGAUUAUGCAGGAUCUAAUUCAUGACUAGCACGAAACUUUGGAAAUAUGUAAUAUAGACACUGGAUUUUAUAACUCAAUGUCUUGUGGGUUCUUCAUUACAGACCUUUGUAUUCUGAAAUGCAGCUAUAUGGAGUAUGUUUUGGUAAUGAAAGAUGAACAGGAAAAGAAACAUUGUAAUCUGUGGCCAGUGAAUCACAGUCCAUACAGAUUCCCUCCCUUGUGCUGGUCUAAGAUAUUGACAUCUGAGAAGAAUCAAGCAAGGAAGAGUCUCACAGUGAAAAAAAAAAAAAAAACACUGAAGGGGAAUGAGAUUCGUGUUUUCAUAUUAAGUGAUAUAACUGAGCAACUAGCAAAACAAACUCAUAUAACAUUGGCUGAUCCCACCUGAACCCAUGGCUCUGAGGAGACAAAGAAAAUUGAAGAACAGUGUCAUAGCUCAAAAUUCUCCAAUGUGCUGAAGUGGUAGAGUUCAGCUUCAAUUUCGUAUGAAAUGAAACCUACACUGUGAAGGCAGAAGAUGGGAGAAUAUUAAUUUCCCUUCAGAAAUGUUAUAUUUAGAAUUCUGGCUUAGCUGGUUGCUCACAGGUUUCAUGAAGAAACAUUUGCAAAUUUGAAGUUCACCAAAGUGUUUGAAAUCUAUUUGUUAUGAAUGAUAGUAAUCAGAAACACAUGUAGGAUAAAAGAUAAUUUGUGAUCAAGUGUUCAAUAAAAUAUAAAUAGCUCAAAAAGAUCAGUUUUCAUGCUUCACCUCACCGGAUGUGUAAAAGUCUCUAAAGGAACUAACGUAUAGUAUAUUCUGAAAAUAAAAUUUUUAUGAGCAAAGCAAUAAUCCCAUACUAGUUCUUCUUUCCUGUUUUCCUUUUUGAUUGGUUUUAGACAGACUAGAAAGAAUUAUUUUGUGGAGUAGGACUCAAAAGAUUUCCUGUAUGAACCAGAUUUCCUGUAUUACUGUUAGAAAAAUCACUUAAGGGGUAAAUAAUGGUCAAGUGUUAACCAAUCCUUUUCGACAGUAAGUGCAAGACCUAACUUUUCUUCGUAUCUUUGAAAAUCACUCCUUAUAUCUCUCUGUACCUCUCUUGACUGCCAAUAAUAUGGAGCAUCAAUAUGUUA